GGAGAGGUGUCCGAGUGGUUUAAGGUGCGGACCUCGAAAGUCUGUGUGGGCUCACCCCCACCGUGGGUUCGAAUCCCACCCUCUCCG
rnacentral:tRNA from 1 species